rnacentral:rRNA from 1 species
AAAUGAAUAGACGGGGGCCCGCACAAGCAGUGGAGUAUGUGGUUUAAUUCGACGCUACGCGAAGAACCUUACCAGGUCUUGACAUCCGACUAACGAAGCAGAGAUGCAUUAGGUGCCCUUCGGGGAAAGUCGAGACAGGUGGUGCAUGGUUGUCGUCAGCUCGUGUCGUGAGAUGUUGGGUUAAGUCCCGCAACGAGCGCAACCCUUGCCGAUAGUUACUACGAAAGAGGACUCUAUCGGGACUGCCGUUGACAAAACGGAGGAAGGUGGGGAUGACGUCAAAUCAUCAUGCCCCUUAUGACCUGGGCUACACACGUACUACAAUGGCUGUUCACAGAGGGAUGCAAAGCCGCGAGGCAGAGCGAAACCCUAAAAACAGUCUCAGUUCAGAUUGCAGGCUGCAACCCGCCUGCAUGAAGUCGGAAUUGCUAGUAAUCGCGGAUCAGCAUGCCGCGGUGAAUACGUUCCCGGGCCUUGUACACACCGCCCGU